UACGUAGGGUGCGAGCGUUGUCCGGAAUUAUUGGGCGUAAAGAGCUCGUAGGCGGUGUGUCACGUCGGCCGUGAAAAACCUGCAGCUUAACUGUGGGCGUGCGGUCGAUACGGGCAUCACUGGAGUUCGGCAGGGGAGACUGGAAUUCCUGGUGUAGCGGUGAAAUGCGCAGAUAUCAGGAGGAACACCGGUGGCGAAGGCGGGGUCUCUGGGGCAGUAACUGACGCUGAGGAGCGAAAGCGUGGGGGAGCGAACAG
rnacentral:rRNA from 1 species